rnacentral:rRNA from 1 species
ACGGAAGAUCCGAGCGUUAUUCGGAAUUAUUGGGUUUAAAGGGAGCGUAGGCGGAUGAUCAAGUCAGUUGUGAAAGCUUGGGGCUUAACCUUGAAAUUGCAGUUGAAACUGGUCAUCUUGAGUGUACAUAAGGGUGGUGGAAUUUGUGGUGUAGCGGUGAAAUGCAUAGAUAUCACGAAGAACACCGAUUGCGAAGGCAGCCACCUGGGGUGCAACUGACGCUGAGGCUCGAGAGUGUGGGAAUCAAACAG